rnacentral:lncRNA from 1 species
AAAUUGUGCAAGUCUUGACAACCAGCCUAAGAAGUUUGGAGUCCUGUGAGUGGGGAACUACCAGAGGCUUUCAGUGGGAAGUGACCUGGUCAGAUUGUAUUUCGGGACACGUGCUCUGGCAGCUGGUUUGUUGCAGCUGCGGGGAGUCCGCCUGGGAGUCUGAGAUCUGAGCUGGGAGUGCAGGGGCAGGAGAUCCAUUUGAUGAACUGGCAGGCCUUGGAAGUCUUUGAGAGCUCUCAGAACUGGACAGGAGUGGUCGAUGCUGGAACGGCAGAUGCAGGAGAGAGGGGCAGGAGUCCAGCUCCCUGUACUGUCUUGACUCUCCUUCUCAGGAGCACAGUGAUCACAGAAGGAAUUCAGUGCCAGUGAAGUUGCCAUUUUUCAGAUGAAGAAAUCGAGGCACAGAGAAGUAAAUAGCAGGAUCAAGUUCAUGCAAUGUGUAAGUGAUGGAGCUGCAAUUCUGAACUUGGGCAGUUUGACCCUGGAGCCUGUGUCCUUAACCAG